GACGUCGUCUUUGAAAACCGGUCCAGAUGCGGCAUGACGUAAUAUCGAGAAACGACGUUUAAAGUUGCGCCAAGUUUACGCGCGCAGCUUUCUUACACAUGUUUUAAUUAGCAAAAGUUUGACCGUUAAAGUACGACUGCUUGUUACAUGAUUGAUGACAGCCUACUACAGAAAGAAUAUUUAGACAUCAGACCUGUAAAUAAAUAGUGGUAUUACGCCUGAGACAAAAUACUUCGUUCAAAAUCAGUUGUUUCCCCUUCGCUACUGUAUGUUUCCGGUUUCGGAUUUUAUCAGGGAAGCAUGUGAAGUUUACUUUUGUUUAACUGCCUUUUGUUCAACGAUGAAGGGAUCUGAGACUUGUAGUACUGUUUACUGAUUUGAUUAUAUUCCUUGUUCCUUUGAUGGUUCAUUCUACUACAGCUGGUUCAUAUACCCUACAACAGCCAGGAAAUUGGUCUGUUUACUUUAAGAUCAGAAGAAAAUGUAACAUAUUUUGGAUGUGCUUUGAGGAAUCAGGAAGGCAAGUGUUUCCUCUUGUUUAUGAAAGAAACUCAGUUGGUUAAGGGGCAGACAACUUGUGAGCAUGGUACAUCACUACCUGUAUUGGUAUUCCAUUUUGACAAUGCUGCUAGCUAGAAUAGAAAUAACAUCUUGCUGUGGUAUGGUCUGUGGAGAGUUUUACUAGGAUAUCACAGAUCGAUUGAAUAUUCAACAAUGAUCACAGACCAUGCAAAGUUUGAAUCUGACUUGCACUUUUGAAUUUAGAAGAAUCUGUGGAGGAGGGUGAAUGCUGAGACCUUUAAUAAUACAUGAUAUUGCUGACACAGUGUGUCAGUCAUCAAAGAAAGGUCAUAACAUUGCACAGUUGGUCAACAAUGAUUUAAAUCCUGUCACAUUCUACCAGUGGAGAAAUAUCUUAUCACAAUAUUUUAAACUUUUGAAGAAGAUAACUAAGUAUUACCACUUUACCAUGUCUGCAGAAACACCUGGAUUGUUAGUGUUAAAAGUGACAGUCCAGUUGAGACAGUUAACUUACUAAAAUAUACUCCCCCUUGCCAAACGAAUAUUACUGACAUGGAAUGACACAAGCCUGACAAUGGUACCUGUAUGAACUCCUAAGAGAAUAGUAUUUGUCUGAAAAGUCAAAGGAUUCUGUUUGUCCCAGACCACUUGAACUGAAAACUGAAAUUGUGAUUGACGAGGAUUUUUCUGAGAACUGAAAAAAGGAAGUGAAUAUAAAAGAUAGAAAUUGUUGUAGAAUUCAAACGUUUUAAUACACAACACUUUAGCCUGUUUUGCUGUUCAUAUAGAUGUGUUUAGCUGUUAAGGUUAAACAUCAAGUAAAGGUUGUAGUUUCAGUUACCUACAUUAAAGUAUUGGCUGGAAAUAAAUAUUUACUUUUCACCAGAGCUUGUAGCAGUGUAACCUUCAUCAAAAGUUAAGCUAUUGUGUUAAUUAUUAAAGUAUUUUUAGAAAAAAGGAAUUUAGUAUGUAUGUUGCCAUGGUAACAUAAUUCAAAUUAUAUUUCAUUGAAAUUAUGGAUUUGUAUUUCAAUAAGGGAUCUACAGUAUAUAAUGUAAUGGUAAAAGAAUGUUCACUUUCUUCAGUAUUGUCAGUUAUAACUAGACAGUGAAAAAAACAGAUUAUGAGGAAAGGGAUGACUGAAAUGUUUAUUCUUACGAUAACUACUUUUGUUACUUUUUUUGUUUUGUUAUUUUAAAGUUUUUAUGUGAAAUUUUCAGAUUUCUUUCCUGAAUACUUAUACUUUAAAAUAUUUAACUUAUUAGAAAUACUUUUUUAAAAUAAGCUCUUGUUUU